rnacentral:misc_RNA from 1 species
UACUCCCCUUUUUUUUUUUUUUUUGAGUAUGGUGGCACUGGUCGUUGUAUUUGGAGUUUUUGACUGAGAUGGCAACGGGAGCAGGAGAAGUUUGCGUUACGAUUGAGAGUUACUUUAAGGGGUUUUGAUUAUAUAUGUGAAGUGAAGCAGCCAAACUUUUCAUUUGGGCUUAGACAUUAAAAUGGACCCUUUCUGUGCUUUUAUAUGUUGGGCCAGGC